rnacentral:rRNA from 1 species
CCUACGGGUGGCAGCAGGGGGGAAUAUUGCACAAUGGGGGAAACCCUGAUGCAGCGACGCCGCGGGAGGGAAGAAGGUUUUCGGAGUGUAAACCUCUGUCUGUGGUGACGAAAGAUGACGGUAGCCAAAGAGGAAGCGACGGCUAACUACGUGCCAGCAGCCGCGGUAAUACGGAGGUGGCAAGCGUUGUCCGGAAUUACGGGGGGUAAAGGGAGGGUAGGCGGGAAGACAAGGUGAAUGUUUAAACUAUCGGCUCAACCGAUACUCGCGUUCCAAACUGUUUUUCUUGAGUGAAGUAGAGGCCGGCGGCAUUCCUAGUGUAGCGGUGAAAUGCGUAGCUUUUAGG